UGCGUAGGCGGCGCUGUAAGUCAGGGGUGAAAGGUUCCGGCUCAACCGGAGAAUUGCCUUUGAUACUGCAGUGCUAGGAUUGGGUUGAGGUUGGCGGAAUGUGACAUGUAGCGGUGAAAUGCAUAGAUAUGUCAUAGAACACCGAUUGCGAAGGCAGCCAACUGGACCUUGAUUGACGCUGAGGCACGAAAGCGUGGGGAGCAAACAGGAUUAGAUACCCUGGUAGUCC
rnacentral:rRNA from 1 species